ensembl:Mt_tRNA tRNA-Glu
GUUUCUAUAGUUGAAUGACAACGGUGGUUUUUCGAGUCAUUAGUUCCGGUUAGAGUCCGGGUGGAAAUU